rnacentral:rRNA from 1 species
GUGCCAGCCGCCGCGGUAAUACGAAGGGUGCAAGCGUUAAUCGGAAUUACUGGGCGUAAAGCGUGCGUAGGCGGUGACUUAAGUCUGUUGUGAAAUCCCCGGGCUCAACCUGGGAAUGGCAAUGGAUACUGGGUCGCUAGAGUGUGAUAGAGGAUGGUGGAAUUCCCGGUGUAGCGGUGAAAUGCGUAGAGAUCGGGAGGAACAUCAGUGGCGAAGGCGGCCAUCUGGAUCAACACUGACGCUGAGGCACGAAAGCGUGGGGAGCAAACAGGAUUAGAAACCCCCGUAGUCC